GCCGAUGUAGCUCAGCUGGCUAGAGCAGCUGAUUUGUAAUCAGCAGGUCGUGGGUUCGAGUCCCUCCAUCGGCU
rfam:Formosa agariphila KMM 3901, complete genome